rnacentral:misc_RNA from 1 species
AGCAGCCGCGGUAAUUCCAGCUCCAAUAGCGUAUAUUAAAGUUGUUGCAGUUAAAAGCUCGUAGUUGAAUUUCGGGGUCAGCAAGUUGGUCGUGCCACUGGUAUGCACUGGCUUUGCUGAUUCCUCCUUCUUGUAGAACCGUAAUGCCAUUUAGUUGGUGUUGCGGGGAAACAGGACUGUUACUUUGAAAAAUUGAGUGUUUAAAGCAGGCUAACGCCUGAAUACAUUAGCAUGGAAUAAUGAAAUAGGACGAGCGAUCCUAUUUUGUUGGUUUCUAGGAUUGACGUAAUGAUUAAUAGGGAUAGUUGGGGGCAUUAGUAUUCAAUUGUCAGAGGUGAAAUUCUUGGAUUUAUUGAAGACUGACUACUGCGAAAGCAUUUGCCAAGGAUGUUUUCAUUAAUCAAGAACGAAAGUUAGGGAUCGAAGACGAUCAGAUACCGUCGUAGUCUUAACCAUAAACUAUGCCGACUAG